rnacentral:rRNA from 1 species
GACGAACGCUGGCGGCGUGCCUAAUACAUGCAAGUCGAGCGGACUUUCAAGAAGCUUGCUUUUUGAAAGUUAGCGGCGGACGGGUGAGUAACACGUGGCAACCUGCCUGUAAGACGGGGAUAACUCCGGGAAACCGGGGCUAAUACCGGAUAAUAUCUUUCUUCGCAUGAAGGAAGGUUGAAAGGCGGCGCAAGCUGCCGCUUGCAGAUGGGCCCGCGGCGCAUUAGCUAGUUGGUGAGGUAACGGCUCACCAAGGCGACGAUGCGUAGCCGACCUGAGAGGGUGAUCGGCCAAACUGGGACUGAGACACGGCCCAGACUCCUACGGGAGGCAGCAGUAGGGAAUCUUCCGCAAUGGACGAAAGUCUGACGGAGCAACGCCGCGUGAGCGAAGAAGGUCUUCGGAUCGUAAAGCUCUGUUGUCAGGGAAGAACAAGUACCGUUCGAAUAGGGCGGUACCUUGACGGUACCUGACCAGAAAGCCACGGCUAACUACGUGCCAGCAGCCGCCGUAA